CUUGGCUUGGCUAAGUUUGGUCCUAUAGUGUGAAUCAGACAAUACAGUAAGCUAACAGGCUACUUGGCUUUAUCAGUGCCCUGCCCAAAAGACCAGGGCAGAUCAUUUCCUACAUUCCCCUCACUGUGUCUCUGUCGAUCCCUAAUCUUGUGUCUUUUGACCCGCGUCUCUCGCAGAUACCAAAGACAAUCUGAGCGAAGCACCUUUUGAUGGCGGAAAGUGAAUGUCCAGCUGUCGCCUCGACAUUGUGUUUGGUUUGGAGGAUUCUGGGGGCUGAACAGAAUCAGAGUGUUGUGGAUAGUGUCACCACCGGAGGGCCUAGAUUCUAUUCAGAUGUGAAUGCCAAAGCAAUCAGACGGAGAGGCAUUGACAUGUACACCCGGAGGACGCAUUUGCGAGUCAAAUCCCCCCCGCUAUUCUGGCUCGCUGUAAACAGUAUUUUGAAGAUGCAUUUGUCGAGUAGUGAGGGAGGAAGAGAAGACGUAUCAGACGGAAACGGAGAUGAUGACAAGUCUUCCAUUAGUAGGAUCUUUUCACCGCCUUCUGAAAUGGCUUCAUCUAUAUUAAUGUGUGUGUUUGACCUGUUGGUAGUUGAUAUUCAUGUGUGUGUUUGACCUGUUGGUAGUUGAUAUUCAUGUGUGUGUUUGACCUGUUGGUAGUUGAUAUUCAUGUGUGUGUUUGACCUGUUGGUAGUUGAUAUUCAUGUGUGUGUUUGACCUGUUGGUAGUUGAUAUUCAUGUGUGUACUGCUGUAAGCCAUUGAUGGUGUAUGUCUUCUUCUGACAAUGGCCAAUUGACUCCAUCAGUUAGACAGUGGGAUGGGCAGUGGUGGCUGGUUCGACCUAGAAACGGAAGAAAACAAAUGGGAGGCACAACGUUCUGGCAAAAGGUAACGAGGCGCGGCAUCUGAGAUUUGUACCACCGUUGAGGCUAUUUUUGAACAGUCCCCUGGAUUAUAUCAGACUAGCGUUUCCCACUGUGCUAGACUUGCAAAUCCCUGAUGUGAGGUGCGAUGAAAUGUUUUCAUUCAAACGUUCUGUGAUGUCGGCCAGCGGGGAGGUACAGAACGGCUCAAACAAAGCAGUUAAGUAUAUAAUAACCUUGUAAAGACAUCAGCACUGUGCGUUUGUCUCUGAUAUUUAUUUUUAUGAAUGGAUCAACUCUGCGGUUAAGCAAUUGUCAAG
ensembl:lncRNA